UGGGGAAUAUUGCACAAUGGGCGAAAGCCUGAUGCAGCAACGCCGCGUGAGUGAUGAAGGCCUUCGGGUUGUAAAGCUCUGUCUUUUGGGACGAUAAUGACGGUACCAAAGGAGGAAGCCACGGCUAACUACGUGCCAGCAGCCGCGGUAAUACGUAGGUGGCAAGCGUUGUCCGGAUUUACUGGGCGUAAAGGAUGCGUAGGCGGACUUUUAAGUGAGAUGUGAAAUACCCGGGCUUAACUUGGGUGCUGCAUUUCAAACUGGGAAUCUAGAGUGCGGGAGAGGAGAAUGGAAUUCCUAGUGUAGCGGUGAAAUGCGUAGAGAUUAGGAAGAACACCAGUGGCGAAGGCGAUUCUCUGGACCGUAACUGACGCUGAGGCAUGAAAGCGUGGGUAGCAAACAGGAUUAGAUACCCUGGUAGUCCACGCCGUAAACGAUGAGUACUAGGUGUAGGAGGUAUCGACCCCUUCUGUGCCGCAGUUAACACAAUAAGUACUCCGCCUGGGAAGUACGAUCGCAAGAUUAAAACUCAAAGGAAUUGACGGGGUC
rnacentral:rRNA from 1 species